UACAGAGGUCUCAAGCGUUGUUCGGAUUCAUUGGGCGUAAAGGGUGUGUAGGUGGCGCCGUAAGUCGGGUGUGAAAUUUCGGAGCUUAACUCCGAAACUGCAUUCGAUACUGCGGUGCUUGAGGACUGGAGAGGAGACUGGAAUUCAUGGUGUAGCAGUGAAAUGCGUAGAGAUCAUGAGGAAGACCAGUGGCGAAGGCGGGUCUCUGGACUGACACUGACGCUCAUGCACGAAAGCGUGGGGAGCAAACAGG
rnacentral:rRNA from 1 species